rnacentral:tRNA from 1 species
GCUUUGGUAGUGCAAUCGGUUAGCACAACAGACCGGACAUCUGUAGAUGGAGGCUUCGAAUCUCGCCUGAGGCU